UUCUCAGUAUGAGAUCGCGUUCUCAGUAUCUGUAUGCAUGUAGUCAGGUUAAGUUUUCAGUAUGAGAUCAGUUCCUCAGUAUCUGUAUGCAUGUAGUCAGGUUAGUUUUCAGUAUGAGAUCAGUUUCUCAGUAUCUGUAUGCAUGUAGUCAGGUUAAGUUUUCAGUAUGAGAUCAGUUCCUCAGUAUCUCUACAUGGUAGAUUAAUGAUAUUUGGUAUGUUGAUUGGUUGGUAAGAAUAAGUCCAUCUGUAUUAAGUUACGUUGUGACUUUGACCUCAGUGGCUAAUGUGUUUCAAUCUUCUACAUAUUUCAUUAAUAAUAUUUUACAUAGUUGUGAUUAAUUCCUGUGCUGAUUGUCAAGGAUUUGCGACUUUUAUCUAACACACUGUAACUGACUUUACCCUUGUAAAGACAACAUGUUUAUGGCAUAAUAGUAAAUAUACAAACACAAGUAAUCAUUAAAUGCAAUAAGAACUGUUCACAUGUAAAGUGGAUUCAUUUAUUUUCGUGGGUAUCAAUUUUUUUUUGGAGGGAGAAAAACCUGCCUUUUUCUGGAUACAAUGUGUAUUUGAUUUCCUAGGUUUGCCAAGAUCUGCAUUCAACCCUACAGAAAAUUAGGAAUUCCUUGAACCUUUAACAACGUUGUUCAUCUGUACCCACGGAAUUCAUGUGCGCCUAACUAAUAAUAAUUAAUCCAAAGUAUUCUAUUGACACAAGAGCAAAGUACUACCAACUAAAGCCAAACACUUCUGACAGUGAAUUGAUCUAUUGCCUAUUAAACAAAUUCAAUAUUUCAGCAGAUCAGCCGUUCAAGUGUGGCAACUCUUGUUAAAGAUCACAAACUAUAUUAUAGUCUCAUUACAACAUAGAUGUGUUGUCACUUUAGAUUUUUAUGUAUCUGUAGAUAUGUUAGUUCUAAAGGAAUAUUUUUUGUUAUAUUUAGUAGAAAAUGUCAAUUUGAUUUUAGUAAUUUACUUAUGUUGAAAUUUUGAUCACAAUCAUUCUAGAAAAUUUAAUUCUUAUUAUUACAUUUCACUAAACAUAAUGAAUUAUAAAGCUUUUCUGGUAAAUGUGGCUAUUAUUUGACAUCUGUUGUCUGCUAUUACCCUUUAACUGUAAAACAAAAUGUGUUCCUUAUCAGAUAGGUAAAUUAAGGUAAAUUAAGGCAAAACCAUGCCACAAUCAUCCACUGUUAGUGUCAAGUUUGAAAAUAUGUUAACCAACAGAAAAAAAACAGUAUUGCUGUAUUUGUUUAGAAUAUCUGAUAUUCUAUAUCUGUCCUUUUUUUUUGCAAAUUCUUAUUUUUUUGAGAUAAUGGUUUUCUCGAUGAAUUUGCAUGUAUUUAAUUUUGCGGUAUUUCCAAAAACAUCAGUACAUAAGUAACGAAAGUUGUAACAAUAAAUACAUCAAGAAAAAUAAGUACAUAUACAGUAUAUGAAGCCAAAUGUACUAAGGUGAAAUAGUCCCAAUAUAGUCCUUUUUCAAGUUCAUGUCUAAUAGCUCUCAUCUUUCUACAAGAUUACCAUCUGAAAUUACAUGACAUAUGCAUAUCAAGUUAAGGCAAAUAAUGAAUGGCAAGUCCUUUGAUUAAAUUCCUUAUAUUUCAUUCUAUAGGACAAACAUGGUCACAGAGACCAUUCUUGAUAGUCAUAUGAUUUGGAUAAUGUUGACUUUUAGUAUAUAUUCAGGUGAAUGAUCUCUGUAGAGUCUCUUAGUUUAAAGUGAUUUUUGUUAUAUAAGAAUGAUAUUUUAUGCAUUGAUAUUUCUAGAAUUCAAUCUUCUUACAUAGGGCAUUUUUGUUGUACAUUUCUUCAACACUAUGGUACUCUUAUGCUUGUGAUUUCAUGUUUACACUUCUCUAUAUAAAUAAAAGAACACAGUAGUAUUUACUCAGA
rnacentral:lncRNA from 1 species